rnacentral:rRNA from 1 species
GAUGAACGCUGGCGGCGUGCCUAAUACAUGCAAGUCGAGCGAACAGAUGAGGAGCUUGCUCCUCUGACGUUAGCGGCGGACGGGUGAGUAACACGUGGAUAACCUACCUAUAAGACUGGGAUAACUUCGGGAAACCGGAGCUAAUACCGGAUAAUAUAUUGAACCGCAUGGUUCAAUAGUGAAAGACGGUUUUGCUGUCACUUAUAGAUGGAUCCGCGCCGCAUUAGCUAGUUGGUAAGGUAACGGCUUACCAAGGCAACGAUGCGUAGCCGACCUGAGAGGGUGAUCGGCCACACUGGAACUGAGACACGGUCCAGACUCCUACGGGAGGCAGCAGUAGGGAAUCUUCCGCAAUGGGCGAAAGCCUGACGGAGCAACGCCGCGUGAGUGAUGAAGGUCUUCGGAUCGUAAAACGCUGUUAUUAGGGAAGAACAAAUGUGUAAGUAACUAUGCACGUCUUGACGGUACCUAAUCAGAAAACCACGGCUAACUACGU